AACGAACGCUGGCGGCAUGCCUAACACAUGCAAGUCGAACGAGACCUUCGGGUCUAGUGGCGCACGGGUGCGUAACGCGUGGGAACCUGCCUUUAGGUUCGGAAUAACUCAGAGAAAUUUGAGCUAAUACCGGAUGAUGUCUUCGGACCAAAGAUUUAUCGCCUUUAGAUGGGCCCGCGUUGGAUUAGCUAGUUGGUGGGGUAAAGGCCUACCAAGGCGACGAUCCAUAGCUGGUCUGAGAGGAUGAUCAGCCACACUGGGACUGAGACACGGCCCAGACUCCUACGGGAGGCAGCAGUGGGGAAUAUUGGACAAUGGGCGAAAGCCUGAUCCAGCAAUGCCGCGUGAGUGAUGAAGGCCUUAGGGCUGUAAAGCUCUUUUACCCGAGAUGAUAAUGACAGUAUCGGGAGAAUAAGCUCCGGCUAACUCCGUG
rnacentral:rRNA from 1 species